rnacentral:rRNA from 1 species
AGUGAACGCUGGCGGUAUGCCUAACACAUGCAAGUCGAACGGCAGCACAGUAAGAUCUUGCUCUUACUGUUGGCGAGUGGCGGACGGGUGAGGAAUGCAUCGGAAUCUUCUUUUUCUUGGGUGAUAACGGAGGGAAGCAUACGCUAAUACCGCAUACUUCCUACGGCUGAAAUCAGAAGAGCUUGGGAGCUUGCGCGAUUGAAUUAGCCGAUGUCGGAUUAGCUAGUUGGCUUGGUAAGGGCCCACCAAGGCGACGAUCCGUAGCUGGCCUGAGAGGAUGAUCAGCCACACUGGAACUGAGACACGGUCCAGACUCCUACGGGAGGCAGCAGUGGGGAAUAUUGGACAAUGGGCGAAAGCCUGAUCCAGCCAUACCGCGUGGGUGAAGAAGGUCUUCGGGUUGUAAAGCCCUUUUGUUGGGAAAGAAAAGCAGCAGGUUAAUACCCCGCUGUUCUGACGGUACCCAAAGAAUAAGCCCCGGCUAACUUCAUG